ensembl:lncRNA
AUGCAGUGCUCAUGCAGACAGCAAACAUUCACUGUCCAUGCCCAGAUAGCGUGUGAUUUCUCUGCGCAGAUGUUCUGUGCGCAAGGAGGGCUCUCUGCGCAGACAGCAGGUGCCAUCCUUCUACAGACAUUAUGUGCCAUCUUUGUGCAAAUAGCGUUUGCCGCUCUCUGGGAGACAUCAGACACUAUUUGCGCAGGCAGAGUGUCUGCGCAGACACUCUCUUUGUGCAGACAGCAUCUGCCAUUCUCUGGCAGACACUCUUUGUGCAGACACUCCAUUUGCGCAGACAGCAUCUGCCGUUCUCUGGCAGACACUCUUUGUGCAGACAGUCCAUUUGCGCAGACAGAGUUUACCGUUCUCUGGCAGACACUCUUUGCGCAGACACUCCGUUUGCGCAGACAGCGUUUGCUGUUCUCUCAAAGACAUCAGACACUCUUUUACGCAAACAGUAUUUGCGCAGACACCCUCUUUGCGUAGACACUCUCUUUGUGCAGACACUCCAUUUGCGCAGACAGCAGUCACUCUGUUUGCGCAGACAGAAAUCUUGAGCUUGCACAUACAGCAUAUAUUGGUUGAGCAGCUCGGUUGUUUCACAGCAGAUGGUUUGUUACUCUCAGGAUGCUGAAGUCUCAGUCAGGCCACUUUGGCAGAUAAAGAUCAUCGUGAGAAGAUGAGAGACACACAUGAAGAAGAGGACGCUCUGCUGUACUCCACUGGAGACUCGGAGCUCACACUGUAGGGGUUUCUUAGAUUUGACUUCCACUUUUAUCCUGCCUAAAGUUAGAAUUACAGUAAAGAUGAGCUGGACUGAAGUGUAAACAGUUGUUUGGAUGCGGCUCUGCCGGCUGACGCCUCACUAAGUGUUGGAUGUUUGCUGGGGUGCAGCUGUUGGCUCAGUUCCUGGGUUUGGACUUGCUUCCAGGACUCUACAGGAGGAAGACUUCCUUCUGACAGAAUCUCUGCUGGCAAACAUGAGGCGUCAGGAGCAGAGAGCACCUUUCUGCACAUCCAUUCUAUUACUCUUCCUCUUCCUCCUCCUCCUCCUCCUCGUCGUCAUCCUCAUCGUGGCAGUGGGUGAUCUCCUGGGGCGUUUGGGGGAACAGGUUGGGGGGCUUGAUCUCGCUGAAGGAGCGGGUCAGCUGGUGGCGUUUGCUCUCCAGCUCCUUGCAGUCGCUGCAGUGGGUGCGGUUUCGCGUGGCGAGCGGAGACUCCAUGUCCAUGUCCACGUGCGCGUGCUCGACCGUUGACUCAUGUGGCAUCUGCGGCAAACGGGGGAAAAGGAUAAAGUUAAAAGACGAUACUGGUUAUACUUUAUAUCUCAUCCGGUGUAUUUUUUCACUUUUGUUGUUGAUUUUUUCCAAAUGUUAAAAAAAUCCCUUCGUUUUGACUGCAGGCAUCCUCCUCUAAAGUCUGCGUUUGAUUACAGGAAAAGGUCCAGUCAACCUUCCUAUUCUUAGCUUGACCAGAAUCUUGAUGGAAGUUUAUUAACCUAUCACGGAAGUUUUUUUUUUCUCCUUUGAUGAAAUGGUUGACUUUUCAAAAGUCAAACCUAUUUAGCCUGGUUUCCACUGAGCAGUCCAGUACGGUACGGUCCG